rnacentral:rRNA from 1 species
UACAGAGGUCUCAAGCGUUGUUCGGAUUCAUUGGGCGUAAAGGGUGCGUAGGCGGCGGGGUAAGUCAGGUGUGAAAUCUCGGGGCUCAACCCCGAAACUGCACUUGAUACUGCCUCGCUUGAGUACUGGAGAGGAGACUGGAAUUUACGGUGUAGCAGUGAAAUGCGUAGAUAUCGUAAGGAAGACCAGUGGCGAAGGCGGGUCUCUGGACAGUUCCUGACGCUGAGGCACGAAGGUCAGGGGAGCAAACGGG